GGAGAGGUGCUCGAGUGGCUGAAGAGGCUCGCCUGGAAAGCGGGUAAGCGGCACAACCGCUUCGGGGGUUCGAAUCCCCCUCUCUCCG
rnacentral:tRNA from 1 species